GGCGUCGAGCGGCGGACGGGUGAGUAAUGCCUAGGAAAUUGCCCUGAUGUGGGGGAUAACCAUUGGAAACGAUGGCUAAUACCGCAUGAUGCCUACGGGCCAAAGAGGGGGACCUUCGGGCCUCUCGCGUCAGGAUAUGCCUAGGUGGGAUUAGCUAGUUGGUGAGGUAAGGGCUCACCAAGGCGACGAUCCCUAGCUGGUCUGAGAGGAUGAUCAGCCACACUGGAACUGAGACACGGUCCAGACUCCUACGGGAGGCAGCAGUGGGGAAUAUUGCACAAUGGGCGCAAGCCUGAUGCAGCCAUGCCGCGUGUGUGAAGAAGGCCUUCGGGUUGUAAAGCACUUUCAGUCGUGAGGAAGGU
rnacentral:rRNA from 1 species